rnacentral:lncRNA from 1 species
UUCUUUUUUUUUUUGUUUUGUUUUGGGUUUUAGGUAUGUAGUGUUGCUUUCGGAUAAGGUUGGUUAACAGUAAAAUUAACCGAGUCGAUUAUAAUGGUUAAUCAUCGGUUGCCGUGGUUGGUAUAGUAUUAACAGUUAACCAUAGAUUAAGAAAUUGAAGUGAUAUAAAUUGGUGAUUCCAGCUGUCUGCCGUAGUGAAAGGACGAUCGCAAGUAGGCGCAUUGGAUGCCCGCCCUUAUUCGGGAGUUGGGUUCUCUAAUUGUCUCUUUCUUACUCAUUCGAAUUUAGAUAGUUGAUAUUCAAUUUUCAUUUAUAGUGGUUUUCGAAGUUGCUAACUUCAUUCCAAAAGACUGCAAUAUUGCAGCUUUUAUGAAGUUUAAUAGUUUGUUACCGCUUGCGUACCAAGUUGGACAUAUAUAACGUAACGAUCGAGUUAUAAUAAUAUGAUUUUAAUUUGGUAAAUUGAUCCAGAAAAUUGUAUUAGUCAAACAGCAAAGAACAAAGAGUGAUUACAACAGCAAAGAAAAGUACUGCCUACUGCCUGCAUGCUACAACUUCUUUGUCUCACACUCCCAGAAACUGGAGACGAUGCAGUGUAGAGCGUGGAACGGCACGACCGAAGCUGGGCCAUUGUUGCCGUCAAUUUCUCGACUCGUCUUGUUCGAAUAUAAGCUUAACUACUAGGCCCGUUAAUUUCACACCUGCAGCCCAAAUGCUUAUAGUCCGGGUAUCCAAGCCUAGCCCAACUCGUACACGGAUCCAAAUAGACCUCGGCCUGGACGCUUGACCCCUCUCAACGGUAGCAUGCAGGCAGUACUUUUACCAUGACAAAUUAAUUUAUAUCUAAAUCGUAACAUAUGGAAGAUGGUCUAACUUAUGAAUUCCGAAAUUUAGAAUUUUAAUAAUUUAGAAUUUUUUUUUAUUUUGAUGUGGUUUGAUAUGUUAUUAAGUAUUUAGUGGAUUUCAAAUUUAUACCAUCCGAUUUAGUACAUUAAAUCGAUUUUUUUGUUUCUAUAAAAAAUUUGUACGUUUAUAUAUUUUACCAUCAUGAUCCAUCCGACUUUUUAACACGACACAAUCAAUUAAAAAAAGCAAAGAAAUGCAAAAAUAGGCACACAUAGUUGCACUAUACACAAAAGUACUGUCACAUGCAUGUACUUCGAAAUUAAAUGCUAGCUAGUACUACUCCAACCCGACUCCAUACUUAUUAAACGUACAUCUUCACUUUCCCACACACACCGAUCAUCGUCUUCCUACCCACAUCUCUCCUCCGUCCCUCUUCCUCACCGGCGACAGCAAUGUCCGGCGUCUGGAUAUUCGACCGGCAAGGAGUCGCCCGACUCAUAUCCCACCCGACCCGCGAGUCCUUCGAGCAGAGAGACCACCACCACAACCACAACCACCAUGGGACGGCCACGGCCCCUGGUGCUAGGCCACGUGUCCUGGUCUACCUCCCGGAAGACCAGGUAAUCAAGUCGUACGACCAGCUCGAGCAGCGACUGGGCGAGCUCGGGUGGACCCGGUAUCAAAGACCGGACAGGAAGGAUAACGGGUUGGUUCAGUUUCACAGGUCUGAUUCGUGCGCUCAUCUCAUCUCUUUGCCUACGAGGUUUUCGAGCAUCAAGCCUUUCCAUAUGUACGACCUCGUCGUCAAGAACCGCUCCUUCUUUGAAGUUCGUGAUGUCCCUAAUUACUAGCUAAUUAAGCUACAUGAAUCAUGAUUGAUUAAUUGGAAGAAGCUUAUAAUCAAGUAAUGUAUAUAAUUAGUACUUACUACUGUCGACAAUCUGUCAAGUACACCCAAGUCCACUGUAUUUUAUUUUUUAUAUAUAUUCGGUUCGGUUCUCAUGUUGUGUUGAGUAGUUUGACUUGUUCUUUAAUGCAAAGGAGAUGAGACUGACGCUUAGCCCUUAGGGCACAGGCUAUAUAUGCAUGUAUAUGUAGCAGCUAUAAGCUACGGCCCAGCCUCUCUGGUUGUAUAUGUAGUAUAGCUGUUGCUGCAUGCUUGAUACAUCAUCAUCAUCAUCAACCAACACACAGUUAAUUACUCGGUGCAAUUCUUUUUUAUGUAACUACUGCAAUUGGUUUUGCCGACUUACUGUCGGAAUCGGAAUACCGGACUACAUUGUGAAGGUCGUAAACUUACUAAUGUCAAGCUUGAUAAUUAAAUAAAUAAUGUCAAACUUUUGUGACGAAAUAUAAUCCUGAUAUAACUAUAUGGUAAUUUGUGACCGACAAUUCACUUAGCAUUGAGACAACCAACAUUUAUUUCAUGGUGAGUUAGGUUAGUCAUGAAAUUCUAUUAAAAUCAACUCCACUUCAUCAAGAGGAACAAGCGAAAAUGGUCGUACAAGAGUUUUGACUUUUGAGAAUGGGUGGCCAAAAAUUGUUAUUUAUUGUAAAUUUGAGUGAUCGAAAUGUUAUCUAUCAUAAAUAUGAUUAAUAGAAAAAAAAAAUUAUUGGGUUUGUAAUUAAAUUUCUUAGCCACUUCAAAUUAGUGAAGCAUUUUUGCCAUAAAUGAAUGGAGUGAUCAAUUCGUUACCUACUUAAAACUUGAAUCAUGAGUUUGUUAAAAAAUAAUUAGGUCGAGUGACAACAACGUCUCCUACCACAAACUUGGAUGACCAAAAUGUUAAUUACCAACCCCAAAGUUGAGUGACCAAAGUGUUACAUAUGCCAAAGUUGAGUGACUGAUGAUGCUUGUAACUCUAAGUUUAAUUGAGAAGGCUUAUUAGAUAUAAUGUCGUGACUCUCUUUCUUGGUUUUGUAAUGAAAUCUCUUAGCCCCUUCAUAUUAUUGACGGGUUUUCACCGAAAAUGGAUGGGGUAACCAAUCCGUUACUUGAAAUUUAAGUCAUGUGUUUGUGAAAAAAUAAGAUCGAGUGAUCGAAACGUUACCUAUCCCAAAUUUUAUUGACAAAAUUUUGUUUUCUUCUUAUGAGUGAUUGAAAAAAAUAUUAUUUUUGAGUGACCAAGAUAUUACCUAUCUUUUACUAGAAUAACUGGCAAUGAUUUUAACCCCAAUUUUAAUGGAGAAGGCUUAAUUAUGAACUAUUUCCCUAGUUUCCAUCCAUGCAACUUCGUCCAAAAGGGGAUAUAGCUAGCCUAUGUGUUGUGCAUCGCAUCGGGGAUGGGCACUGUUUUUUUUUUGCUCUUUGUCUUUUUUUUUUAUAAUUCUAUUCACUCCCAUUUUCGUCCAUGACCGGACCACCAUCGUUUACCUAACUUACUUUUAAUGAUAAAUUUGUAUAUUAAUCGGAAGGAAGUAUCAAAUUUGAAUUCAAUUUAUACAAUAUUAUUGUAAUAUUUUUUUUAAUGAAUGAGCUCUUCUCAAUAUCCAAAGUGUCUGUAUUUUAUUAUUCUAGCAUCCAUGUCUACAAAGUUUGCCUCCACCUAAAUCCCCAUGAUUUGGUACGAGGUUAACUCUGGUUAAGCAGGCCAGUAGGCUGAACUCAGGAAGAUCCUAAUGGGCUACCAACAUGGGCCCUCUGCUGUUUCUUGAUCCGCUAAGAAUCCACCAGAGCUAAGCCCAAAUUGGAUACAGAAAUCUUCAUUCAUUUUUUUCAAACGGACAACAAUCUCGACUCUUUAAACUUCCUAUCUAACCCAACGCUUAAAUCAGGCGUGGAGAGAACGCGCCACCAUUACGAAGAGGAAUCAUGGCGGCACCUACAGGUAGGGUACCUGAAUUGAGGCACGACCCGGUCUCCAACCGAUGGGUCGUUUUCUCCCCCGCAAGGGCCAAGCGCCCUUCCGAUUUCAAAUCCAAGUCCCCGGAGAACCACCCUGAUCCCAAUUCCUCCGCUGCUAAUUCAUGCCCGUUCUGCAUAGGCAACGAGAGCCAUUGUGCCCCUGAGAUCUUCCGGUUCCCUCCCAAUCAACCGAACUGGAAGAUCAGGGUCAUUGAGAAUCUCUACCCCGCCCUCAGCCGAAUCGCGGAGGACGAUAAGAAGCAGCAGCAGCUGCACGAUCACGCCGCUGGUGGACGGAGCUUGAGCGGAUUGGGGUUCCACGAUGUGGUGAUAGAGGUUCCAGUUCACACCGUGCAGUUGAGCGAUUUGGGAGCUGGAGAGAUUGGCGAGGUCUUGCUUGCCUAUAAGAAGAGGAUUCUACAGAUUGCAAGCUUUGAUUCGAUCAAAUACGUCCAGGUUUGAUUCUGCUGUUUCUUUCUUACCAUUUGCCUUGUACGAUUGAAUUCGUAUUGUAGAGAAUAUAGAACCAAAAGUGUUUGAGCAAAAGUUAGCCUUGGACAUUUAACGAUGUAGUAUUUGUUUCGUAAGUUUGAUAGCAUCGAAGUACCUAAUCCCAAGAUGCACAGAAUCUCAAAUCAGAUGGUCUUGGUUUUGUGUGUGUGUUCAGAUAUUCAAGAACCAUGGAGCUUCAGCUGGUGCAUCUUUGAGCCACUCGCACAGUCAAAUACUGGCUCUACCCAUCAUUCCUCCUGCUGUUUCUGCAAGACUUGAUGGUACAAAGGAGUACUUCAACAAGACAGGGAAGUGCAGCUUGUGUGAAAUUCAAAGCAAGGAGCUUUUGAUCAACGAAUCAACCCAUUUCAUAUCGAUUGUCCCCUUCGCCGCGACAUUCGCUUUCGAGAUAUGGAUCGUUCCAAGGGUUCAUUCGUCUCAUUUUCACGAACUAGACUCUGAUAAGGCAGCCGAUCUCGGGGGAUUGCCGAGGAUGCUGCAAAGGUUCUAAGGGAGGUUAAUCUAUCUUGAUUCCCCAAGAAAAUAAGUUAGCGCGGGGGUUGGCAUGGAUUUACGAUGUAGUCUGCAGCGUUUACAGUCAAUUUGGAUACCUACAAAUCUGUCAUUGUCAAAUAUGAGCAUCAUACUUAUUUGAAGGAAUAAGAAUGUCAUUUUCGAACCUUUAAUAUCCAGCAAUAUCAAGGAAAAGUAUGCUUGAAUAUUAUUAUGCAUUCUGCAAUUUUCAAUUAGCCAAUUUCUUUUGGUUAAAACUGAAAUAAUGAAAUGUAGACAUUUAUAGUUCGUUUGAAUCGGUGAUUUAAUCUUUACUAAUCUCUCUUAAAUGAUCGUUCAUUAUAUAAUCAAUGCAUCAUGUUUUCUUUGCAAAACCCCUAUUGAGUGUGUAUGGUUGUGAUGAUAUGUGGGAAUCAAUAAUUUUGUAAGCUUAUCAUUUUGCGACAAGCUUAAUUAUUAAUGACACGCUAACCACAAGAUCAUCAUUUACUAUAAUUAUAUACAAAUAUCCUUCACAAGUAAGCAAUCUUGUUUUUGGCUACACUUCUUGAUGAUAUCCAUGGCUAUUUAUUUGAUUGCUUGUUUUAUCUUACAAGUUACCUACCCUCUAUGCCGUACAUUCCUUCAAUAAAACAAUUGCAAUUGCCGAAAGACGGGCAUCAUUUUUUUUUUAAAUCAAAAUUAAUGCAUCAAAUAAAUGGUUCAUCUAUGGACAAAAUAUUUUCACAGAGUUCAAAUAGUCAUCGGGAGGUGUUUUCUCGUAAACAAAUUACACCAGUGAACGCGAUCGACGAGUAAAUUUGUGAGCAAUGACGUUCCUACAUUUUUUAAACCACUCAAUUCUAAACAUAGGUUUACUGUUAAGGUUGUGUCGGCAUCACCGAAUAAUUUUGUGUACUCUACGAAAAUGUUACAAAACCCUUGGUUACUAUCUGAAAGUCGGUCUCAAUUAUAGCUUUCUCGUAUCGCAUGUCUCUAAUCCACUUCGAGUUAUGUUUCAACGCACACACUUCCUCUUCUCCCAUUCUAGCUAAACUGACCGCUUUUGUACAUAAAAAAAAUGUAGCAUACCACUUAUAUCAUCACGCACAACCAAUCCCACACAAUAGUUGUUGUUCUAGGAAAAAAAGGGGAAUAUAAACGUUACAUUUAACAUACUCUAAUAGUGAAGAAUGUCACUGAAAACACGAAGUGAUAAAUAUUUGUGGUUGUCACUCAUCCCUGAUCAAUAGCUCAAUCACUCUUGUGAGACAUCCAUACACACAUCUUGUAAUCAUCUAUUAUGUGCUAAUUUAACCAUUUCAAAUUCGCUUGUUAUACUCUCGCCACAGUCCAAACAAUAGCCGGAAAGACGGCCAUAAUUGAAAGACCUUAUUACACUUUUGUUAUGAAAUAAAAUUUCAUAUGUACUCUCACUUUAUAAUUUACGUAACAAUUUUUGUAGGAACCUUGGGACAAUCAAAGGUUGCCUUUCUAAACAGAAGAGGUUAACAAAAUUAGGUAGAUGGGUCAACUGCCAUGUGAUUCGGUUUCAAAAUUUAAAUUUUUACUUCCCUUAAUCUCGUAAUUAAUCCUCCAAAUUACAAACCCCACAAAUUCCAAACUAAAAACAACAAUAACCAGCACACAGCACCCCAUUGAUGAUUUGAUUCUUCUUCUGUCACAGCUCCACUCUCUCCCCCCCCUCCUCUUUGAAUUCCUCUGAGAUGCCAAAGCUCGUCCUCUCACAAAUUCCUUCCCUUCAACCCCUCUCCCUAUUUCCCUCCCCUUCCACCCUUGUUAAUCGAAUGAGAUCAUGAAGUGCUUCCACUUCUCCAACGGCGGCGGGGCCGCGCCCGCCCCAUCAACCGCCACACGCCGACGCGGCGGCAGCCGCUGCGAGGCCGGCGCCGGCGGCGGCGGCGCCGCUUCUUCUAGAAACUCGCGGAUGUCGUGGGCGAGGUCGUUGAGCGUGGCCUCUACUAACGUCGACACCAGGAGAGGCUCGUCGGACUUGUACUGCUACUCCUCUAGAGACUUGUCCGAAUCCGUCGCCUUCUACGAUUUCUUAUCACAUCGGAGAGCCAACGAUUUGCACGUCUUCUCCUUCGCCGAGCUCAAAGCGGCGACCAAGGGGUUCAGCAGGUCGCUUUUGAUCGGAGAGGGAGGAUUCGGUUGCGUCUACCGCGGUGUCGUUAGGGUUCCUAAUUGCGUUUACGGGUUCCUAAUUGCGUUGACGACGGCUGUGAUUCAGAGACGUUGGAUGUUGCUAUCAAGCAAUUGAAUCGUCAUGGUUUCCAGGCAUGUUCCUGUUUUGUUUUUUUCCCCUUACCUGAUCAAAAUUUUUAUUGGAUUGAUCGUUUGAAUCAGGUUAGGUUGAAUUUCUAGUGUUACAGGGACACAAAGAGUGGAUCAACGAGGUGAAUUUCUUGGGCGUGGUUAGCCAUCCGAAUUUAGUGAAGUUGGUUGGAUAUUGCGCUGAAGAUGACGAAAGAGGGAUGCAGAGGCUCCUGGUUUAUCAGCUCAUGCGUAACAAGAGCUUGGAAGAUCAUCUCUUAACUCGAACUCCUUCGCCUCUUCCGUGGAUCACAAGGUUGAAGAUUGCUCAAGAUGCUGCUCGUGGAUUGGCUUACCUCCAUGAAGAAAUGGAUUUUCAGGUCUCUCUUAGCUUUCAUUUCAUUCCUGUCAAGAAGAGCUUUUCAGUUGUGUGUUUGUGCUUAUUGUGUUAGUUCUUUUAUGAUGCAGCUGAUAUUUCGAGAUUUCAAGGCGUCCAACAUCCUGCUAGAUGAAGAUUUCAAUGCCAAGCUAUCAGAUUUUGGUUUAGCCAGACAGGGUCCUCCUGAAGGGCUCAGCCAUAUCUCAACUUCAGUAAGUUUUUCUUGCUUUGAUGAACUUUCGGAAUGCAAAGAGUCAAACUUAUGAUCUGGAACUGAUGUAGAAUUUGUGGUUUAGGUUGUGGGAACAGUUGGUUAUGCAGCACCAGAGUAUGUACAGACCGGAAGGCUGACAGCGAAGAGCGAUGUGUGGAGUUUUGGAGUGGUUAUCUACGAGCUUAUUACAGGCAGGAGGGUGAUGGAGAGAAACCUACCAAGGGGAGAACAGAAGCUCUUGGAAUGGGUUCGGCCAUUCGUAUCCGAUCCAAAGAAGUUUCAUCUCAUCGUAGAUGCCCGGUUGGAAGGAAAAUACUGCCUUCGAUCGGCGCAGAGAGCAGCAGGAUUGGCAAACAAAUGUCUCAGCAGACAGCCCAAGUCCAGGCCUAGAAUGAGCGAAGUGGUUGAGUUGUUGGGGAACAUCAUCAGCGAGACAUCAAUCGAGGAAGAGGAGGAAACUGCUGGAUCCAAAAUUGAAAAGGUUAAAGAGGAGAACCCAAUAGUGGCCGAGCCAGAGUGCAGCAGUAAGAGCAGAAACAGAUACCUGAAGAAAGUUUUGGAUAUGAGAGAGUUCAAGAGCUUUAGGUCGAUUGGGAAGCAGCUAGAUUGGAGAAACUGGACUCCUGGUCUCAUAAGAAGUUCAUAAGUUUUCGGGCAGUUCUCGAAAAUCCUCUGAUACGGCGAUUAGAUAGGUUUGGUUGUCCACGAGUUUAUCUUCACUGAGUAUAUGUAUAUGCUUCCAUUUCCUACCGGAGUAAAUAGAAUCGAAACUUUACGUGGCCUCUUGUUCUGCAUUUGUCCAUCAUGAAAUCCAAGUUCGAAAAAAUUGCUUAUUCCGAAUCGUAAUCUGAUGUGAAAAAAGUUGCAGGUGACAGCACUGUUGCAGCAUCAAGAAGAAAGAAUCUACGGAAGGUAGUUGAUUCCAUUUCCACUACUGCAUAGUCUGCGUAAAGUUGCUGUCUUUGAUUAUCUUUUUCGCGUAAAGACUGAACCUUUUCUGCAAAAUUCCACGGUGGUGGUCUUGUGUACUAUGAUGAACAACGUUUCAAAGUAGGAAUUGUGAUACUAAUCAGCGUUUUAAGUCUUGGGUAGGGUGUAAAGAGGAAUGAGACAACAUGUUACAGUGAACAUGUGAAUACGGUUUCUAUAAUUGCAGAUCAAGACAAUGUCUUGAAAGUGAAGAAUCUUGAUACCAGGUGAUUGAUUGGGUAUGAAAUCUGAGGCUUACAGCAGCCUUCUGGGAAAAUUACAGGACAAGACUUGUCUGUCGUGGACCCAGCUAGGCCCAUUUCACAGGGUAUGAAUACAGAGUGACUUCACAAUCGCGUACAGUUGCUGUCGAUGAUAAUAAAAGCUGUCACUGCAUAUGACCAAGUCGUGUGUAGGCUAAUAGUUCGGACCAAGUCAUAUAUGAACUGUUAACAUGUUUUUCUCCCAUUUCACAGUAUAAUCACUAAGUGUUUGUUUGUUAUGGAAGAAAUUUGGAGAUUUUUGUGAAAAUUCAGAGUAAAAAAAAUAUUUGUUUGUUUAGUUUUAAUUGACCAGUGUUUUACGAAAAUACGUUUCCUCUGAUCUCACAUUUCUUCUCAAAUGUGUAUUUUUCAAAUACAUGGUGUUGAUGAUGUUUUCUUCAAAACUCCGAGUUUUUGUAAACAAUAGAUAGAUAUUGUCAUUAUUACCCCCAACUUCCUUUCCGGCUAUAACGACUAUAACAAUCGAGGUGGAGAAUAAAAGUGGGGUAUUGGUUUGAUGUCGGAUUUAUUCUCAUUUAUAUUUAGUAAGAUAUGGUAUGAGUAUGGUACAAUAUUAAUACGUUCAUAGUUUCAUACAUUGUUUUAACAUAGCAAUACGUUUAAAAUUUCGGCAACAAUUAGAAAAUAUUAAAAUUUUAAAAUUAAACGGCUCUACAAUAGUAAGAGAACGGAAGUUCUAAACGCAUAUAGUACGUAUAUGUGUAUUAUACGAGUAUUAAACGAAUUUUUGCUAACUAGAAGAUGAUGGGUCUUGAAAUUGGAUUUCAAAUAAGGGCAUCAUGCACACCGGUGGGAUAUUGGUUUUAUUGCACAAUAAAUCCCUAACAAAUGAAAAAUUGUAUUUCAAUUGCAAACAUUGUCACCAACACAAUGUAAUUAGAAUUACACAAUCUCUUCUUCCUCAAUUCCCUUUUUUUACUUUUCCCCUACUUUCCAUUACUCAAUACCAAACGAGAUAACACUUUUUUUAGAGGGUGAAAAACUCCAAACAAGUUAUGCAAGGAUAGAGCAGGAUCAACGAUACAAAUAGAACGAAUACUAAGAGAUAAACUAUUACUUAAGCUAGCUAAAUAGUGUUCUGUCCGAUUGUUUUGUCGAUAGAUAUGUUCAACCUCGAUCAUCUAAUCCCGAUCCAACAUUUUACAGAAAUUAACGAACGUAAAAAAGUGCGGAUGUGUAUUCGCACUCUUAGCUAGCAUAAAAACUAAAUCAGACUAUUCUUAUACUUUGCGAUACCUCUCUCACAAACUAUAUACAAUCAUGUCACAACCGUUCACAAUUCAACCUAUAUAGGUUUGGUGUAAUACAUGAAUUUGAAAACAAGGUAGUAAAAAUUUGCAGAACAUGAGCCGAUAACGGGCUUCCCUAAAAGUCUUGGCCCUCGGUAUGUUCAGAUUAUGGGCCUGUCUCUGGGCUUUUACAUGAGUCUUGGCCCUGUAUCGUACUUUUUAAAGGAAAAAAUUACAGCUAGUGUGAAUGAUCAAAAUCCAUACGUACAUAUUCUUUUUUUAACGUUGAAUUUCAUUUCCCUGAAAAUCGGUUACAAACUGUGAUUCAAGAUAGAAAAGUCAGCAAGUACAAGUUGUAGAAUUCAGUCCUGAUGCAAAGCACGAGCUCUGGAGGAAGUAGCCACUCAAUUAGCAAUCCUGUCACCAUUCCUGGGGAUGAAGUGGAACUUAAUACUCUACACGUUUGCAAUAAGGUGAAAGAUCGAUCUAACGGUAGCAUAACAGUCUCACGACCACAGGAAGGAUCGAUUGUUGAUGAUAUUGACCAAUGUUAUGUUAUCGAAAAAAAUGGAUGAUGGAUCCAGACUUGCAAUUGCUACUUUGGUUGCCUCGAGGUCGGCUCUCGCUUUCACCCCAAUAGCCGACGAGCAGAAAAAGUUACCAUUCUUUCCAUCACAAAGUUGAUCAUGUGUGUCUCUAACUACGACACAAUAAACCGCCUCAUGAGAAUAACUAAAGAACGAUCCAUCACAAUAAAUACGUCGUAACGGUGUAUAUAUCAUUAUAAGAACACCACCACAAAGCAUGUUGUGAAGUGUGUUCCAUAUGUUCUUCAAAUGCCUUGUCUCCCAGCUCUGCAUAAUGCUUGAUCCACACAUGCUUUAAACCUCAGAAAUUAUCAUAACCCUAAUCCAAUGAUCUAGGGGAGCUUGGAUGUAUAGAGCAGGGAGACAAAGUUGAAAAUCUGUACCUGCAAGGCUACAACUGUUUUGGCGGAGAAGGAUGAACAAACUAACUGUUUUUAAUUGUUUCAAGUUAAAUGAGAUCAAUCUUGAUAUAUUUUUGUUAAAGUAGAUCUUUCAAUAAUACAAUGGUAUCCCUUGAUGGGAUGUACUGGAUUCGACCCGGAGGUCUUUAGGGUCACCGACACACAACUUGACCACUAAAGCAAUCUUGAUAUAUUUUACUUUGUAUUUAUGUUAUGACACAAUCAAAAAUUUAUAAUGUUACUAGAAAAUCGAUAUAAUAAUGACAUAAUAGUCUCUUAUAACAAUGUUAUAAUAUAAUCAAGCAAUAACAAUAUCAUUUUACCAACUUAACAAUGUUAUAAUAGUUGAGACUCUCUUCCUCGUCUCCACUUGUUAACUUCCUCUCUCUAUCUUGAUUUCCGAAAUGCUUUUAAUAUUGAUACCAGAAUAUAAUAGUUGUUUUCCUGAUAAUAAUUUUUUUUGAAGGAUAUGAGAUUCGAGAUAUUAAAGCUUUUGUGNNNNNNNNNNNNNNNNNNNNNNNNNNNNNNNNNNNNNNNNNNNNNNNNNNNNNNNNNNNNNNNNNNNNNNNNNNNNNNNNNNNNNNNNNNNNNNNNNNNNNNNNNNNNNNNNNNNNNNNNNNNNNNNNNNNNNNNNNNNNNNNNNNNNNNNNNNNNNNNNNNNNNNNNAUAGUAAAAUUAUUUACUAACUAAAAAUUCCAAAAAUAAUUUUUUUUUGGUAAACUAGAAUUCAUUAAACCACAUAAAAUUAAAGAUUCCAAAAAUUCAAAGCAAACACCUCCACAUAAGAAAUAAUAAUAUCUAGAAAGUAGAUCAAAACAAGUAAAGCAAUUUCAUCAGCAAGGCUGUCUUUAUGUGCAAUUUUAUUAGCAAAGUACUUUCCGUGAUCUUGUUUUGUCAGAGAUCUCUGUAAACUUAGAUCAGACAUCUUUUGUUAGGAUAUAGAGUUUCAUCUUGUGUCGAUGAAGAGCAAUAGUUGCAAAUCAUACACUUAUCAACCAAUGUUACUUGGUAACGAGGAUGGAUGUGUGUAUCUCUACUAUAUAAUCUUCAGGCUUGGAUGGAAGUAGCUGCAGCUGCAUUUUGAAUCUCUAAACGACGCCCUAGAUAUAGUGAAUUACUGUACUUGGCGCCAUUUCUUUGAUUCUAGUAGCUCCUAUUGCUACUCCAAGAAUCACAAAGAAUCAGAUUUUCAACAACUUGUUCUUAGUCUCCAAGAAGAAGUAAAAGAGAUAAGCUAAGGAACAAUGGCUGCAUCUUCAAGCCAAGCUUCUGGAAAUCCAUUCGGAUCGGGGCAUCCCUACUUCAAGAUCAAAAUCAGCCCAACUUAUCUGAAUGCUUGCCAGCGAAUGGUACGUCUCUUCCAACCAUACAAAGAAAAGUUUGUUUUUUCCUGCACUUUUAUAGUUUUGAUCGACUGUAUGUGUUCUUUUAUACUUUUGGCAGAACAUACCAUCCAAGUUUACGACCCGUUCUUGAGAGAUGUGGAGCGGGUGAAGCUGGUGGUAGGGGACAAGGUUUGGCCAGUUAGGGUCUGUCUUGCAGGGGACAAGUAUGUGUAUGUCAAGCUGGCCUCUGGCUGGAUGGCAUUUGCAGAAGAUAACUCGCUGAGACUCGGCGAUGUUUGCGUGUUCCAUCUGAUCCCUGAAGUCCUAAUGAAGGUCAACAUAAUUAGAGGUGUCUGUAGGUGUUUAAUUUGUUAUUAUGAUGACUCUUUAAGAUUGUUAGUCAGAUUGUAGUAUUAAUUACGUAAACCAUUUGAACCCUUUUAAGGUUAAUUAUGUAUUCUGGAUUUUUCAGACUUAUUAGUCCUAGCUAGCCACUUUCUUUCUGUUGAUUUUAUUUCAUCUAAAGUCUGCAUCUUUACCACUGUAUUUCUGUUGAAUUGCCAUUCCAGAAGACGUUUCUGCCAUUCAGACGACAGUCAUCAUCCGACUUGGUCUUCACAUUUACAACACUUUCGAGGCAACUUCAAUUUUACGGAGUAGCUGACCUUCGGUUGCAGCAUCUUUCUCCUAAGAACUCAGGACCAUUACUUCUAGUCUAUGAUCUUGAAAUGCACCAACUUACCGCUCCAAGUUCAUAAUCAUCAAAUAAAAACCGUACAUACAAACAUCUAUACAAUGCAUUGUCAAAAAAAUCGACAGCACUUUCUCUCCAUUAACAUUUCCGCUCAACAACACUCUCAAGCAUGUUGAGGAGAAGCAGUGGGGCGGCUAUACGCGCCACUGAUCCUUCUCCUGCGACUAGCAUCAUCCGCGCUUCUUCUCCGCCACUUUGUUGGUGCACUAUUCGCCUGAUCGCUCGAGUUGUUGCUCAUCUCGUUCGACUCAAUGAUGUCCUCCAAGAUCCUCACCACCUCUUCCAUAUUCGGUCGCAGCUUGGCCUCUAUUGAAAUGCACCUCAACGCAAGUGAAGCAGCCUUGAACGCUACUUCCAUCGUGUAUUGCCCUUCAAGCCGAUUGUCCAGGAUCUUGAACACCUUGCGCUUGCUCCCGAUGUACGGUUUAGCCCAUUCCACAAGAUUGUGCUCCCCCGAUGGCCGGUUUUUGUCGAUCGCUCUCCUCCCUGAUAACAUCUCUAGCAACACCACUCCAAAGCUGAACACGUCGCUCCUUGGUGUCAAAUGUCCUAUUGUAUAUAGUCACAUUGAAUUAAGCAAAUGACGCGGUGAAAGUUUUCAUCGUCACAUUUAUCACAAACUUCGACGCAAACAUACCUGUGGCAAGGUACUCAGGAGCAGCAUAACCAUAUGUUCCCAUAAUCCUUGUGGACACAUGACUCUUGUCCCCGGUCGGACCAUCCUUGGCUAAUCCGAAAUCGGAGAGUUUAGCAUCAUACUUCUGCACAUUACAUUAGAAUAUGCAGUUUUAAAGACCAUAACGGUUGGUCACUAGUGACGUGUUCAGAAAACCAAUCACUAUUUGUCAAUGAAACUGCAUUUUCCUGUAGUAUAUGAUAACAACUUACUGUAUCAAGCAAGAUGUUAGAAGUCUUGAAAUCGCGAUAAAUGACCUUUGCUUGGGAGCUGUGAAGGAAAGCAAGCCCCUCUGCAGCACCAUGAGCAACCUUCAACCUUAGGUUCCAUGAAAGAGGCUGGAAAUAAGAGCCUCCUGACAUGAACAUCAGACAGACAUGUAAAUGAAUGAUAUAAAAAUCAAUCAGAACUAGAUAAUCAUCAAAUCUGUGUUACUACGACUCACUUCUGAAGAGAUGAUUCUCCAAGCUUCCGCGAGGCAUGAACUCGUAAACGAGAAGGCGAUGCUCGUCUUCCAAGCAAUAGCCAAUGAGCUUGACCAAAUGAGGAUGGCAGAAUUGUCCCAAGUAGUUGACUUCAGUCAGCCACUCCUUGUGACCUUGGUAGCUUUCCUUGUUCAGCCUUUUGACAGCUAUGACCAAUCCGGUUCCGGGUUUGGUUGCAGUGAACGUAAUCUCGUCAAUCCAUCCUUUGAAAACCGAACCAAACCCACCUUCGCCUACCACACUAUCCGGUCGAAAAUUCCUGGUGGCUUGCUUAAGAUCAGCAAAACUGAAGCUCUUCAAAUUAGGAGACUGCAGUAUGUCACCCUCACUCCUUGGAGUUUGAGGCACUGAUAGAUUUCCAUUGUUGCUUUCGCAGCCAACGUAGUUCGGAGGACUCGCCCCCUUUCCCGAUCCAUUGGCGUCGCAACUUACGUGCCUCGAACUCGCCCCUACAACAUUGUAACACACCAGUAAUAGUCCAAAAUUUGGUUAGAAGAGAUUAAAUGUUUUAACCAAACAGUUUCAUAGUUGGGUAACUGCUUGCUUGAUAGCUAGACUAAAAAGCAAACUUGGAAGAAAUCUUCACUAAAGAUUGAAACUUCUACUGAUAAACCCCAUCAUGACACUAACAGAAACAUCAUUUGAUUCAAAUGUGCUACAAGAUAAGGAUACAAUUGAAAAUAGGGCUACAAUUCACAAAUUCGUGAAACAGAAAAGGAAACCAGAGCAAUGGCGGAAUCAGGGAUGGUCGAACCAAAGUCGCCGCAUAAGACCUCUCGACCUUAAAUUGACGAAAUCCUAUAUAAAAUUUUCAAAAUUGAAGUUUUUGCCUAGUGUGUUUUCAAAUUUCGUUUUCAGGAUCUCCGACCAUCUACUGAUCCAGAGUCCAGACCAACAGAAACAGAAUCCAGAGCUGUGGACUUAGAUAUGAUCAAUCCAGAUUAAAUCCCAGAAACGAAGAAGGGAAGAGGGUUUACCUGUGUUAAUAGGGCUCUCGGCUUUAAUCUGGGCACUUAAGCAAGCCCCCAUCAGAAAUCAAAACCCAGAAACUAUUGCCCUGCAUACAAGAGAAAACAGAGGAGGUCUGAGGGCAGAGUGAUACUGGAAAAUCCCAAACUGGGUUUGAUUUGUUUAUUUAUGAUAUGAAAGGAUAAAAGGUAUGAUUUUCUUUUACGGGUUUAAGGAAAGAAGGACGGCAAACAGUUGCAUCCGUGCAAUUUGACCAAUUUUGCUUUUCUUUCUUAUCAAGUCACAGAUAAAAAGGAAGAUGGAAAAAGUGGAGGUGGAAAGCAAACGACAGAGAGAUUUCAGAGGAAUCCCACCGUAGAGAGCAGAGAAAGAAGUCGUUGGAAGGGGCAAGUGGAGUUUGUGAGAUAGAUUAGAUUUAGCUAUUAACUAAAAUGGGAAAACGAAAGAUUUAACGGGUGCUGCAAGUGCAGUGGUGUCAACUGUCAAGAAAGGAACAGGACCAAAUGGUAGAUGGAACAAGAAGAAGAAACAAUGGAAUUAAUGGCGGGAGAGAGGAGGGUUGAAGUUGGGAUGGUCCCACUUUGGCCAGACUCGAUAUUUUACUAUUUUUCUUCUUCUUCAGUUCUUCCUGAGGAGGCUUUUCAGAGUUUCUAGUUUGCUGAAAGUCAUCAUGAUCUUCUUCUUUUUAUCCUCUUCUUCUGUUGACAGAUCAGGCGUCUACGUUUACUCUAAUAAAAAUCUGGAAAAAAGGAUUUUUUGUUCUAAUUUAAUUUGAGGGGUUUUCUCGCUCUGUCAACCAUUCAAUUGGCGACAAAUAGUAGUAGAUGAGUGUAUAUUCCCAUUUAAAACCUUCCCUCCUCAAAAUACAACAUUAUUAAUUACGCUAUUCGAUUUGGACAGAUAUUGUAUAUCAUCUUUAUUAACUUCGGUUGAUAACAGAGAUUAUUCAUAUUAGACAAUUUAAAUAAGAGAUUUGGAACACAUGAAUAUGAAUAAUGUGGGAUGAUUGAAGAUGAUAGUUAGACAUUAUAUAUGUAUUUAGAUUAUUUGGUUUAAUUGAAAGAUCUACAUAUCUGAUUCUGAUUGAUAUAUUUAUAGAUUUAUUCUAGAUCACACUUCUUAAUAUGGACAGUAAUUUCUCUUUUGAAAUUCUUCAUAAGAAUUAAUUUUUUUUUGUCGAAUAGAAAAAUUAACUUGAAUGUUGCCAUUUUUCUCUCUAAAAUAAUAUAACUUAAAUAACAAAUAGCAAAUAUGUUACCUUAUUCAAUUGGAUUGCACAGUUAUUAUUUUGUUCAAAUGAAGUUGCUUCGAUGAUAAAAAGUUUCAGAUAAUCCAGCAUACUUCGCGAAUGAAUCAUAUAUUGGCAUUAUUAUUUUUUCUAUUUUGUAUUAAUCGAUACAAUGUAAAAAAACUAUAUACUGUUUUAACUUUAAACAUGAUUAAUUAAUCAAGUUGGUCCAAGAGUUUAUCUAGUACUGAACUGGUAUUUGGAAUAGAGUACUUGGGUUUAGAUGAGACGCAAGUUGGUGGUGGUGCCUGGUGCAUAAUAGACAACCACACAAAUAGAAGAUGAAGAGUCGUCUCCAACAUGUAAGUUGGCAGUUUCCGUCCGCCGCCGAGCCCCACCUCAUCUCAUCGGCGCCGGUUCUUGCAGUGAUUGUUACGUAGAUAGAUAGACGGUUACCUUCCAAAUUGCAGGAAUGAGGAUAGAUCAAUUUAACCCGGUAGGGACAGAUAGGCUACUGAAGUUGACCUCACUGUCUCAUUGCUCUUUGAACGUGACUCAUUACAUGGCUGAGCUGCCAAUCUCUCAUCUUCCCAAGCACGGCACAGACAUAUUGUAGCUUCCAAGCAAUCCUACCCCGGGUCCGACAAGAGAAGGAGUUACCUCUGUUUGUUUUCGAACUGUGGUUUAGAUUCAUGUGGUCAUAAGAUAUUACAUUUUAACCCUUAGAAUAUUUUACGUGAAUAGCUUCGAAUAUAUAAAGUUUAGAAUUGAUUUCUAUAAGGUUAAUUAAUUAUGUUAUGCCCAAACAGCAAUUAAUUUACUACUGGAGCUCCUAACACGCGUCACAAGUUCAUACCAAGGAACAGCAUCCCAGGUAACAUGAGAUAAGCAAUGACCAGAAAUGGAGCAAAACAUGUCCAAGAUACACAGGGGGUCUAAAGUAUUAGGGUAUUAUUAUGAGUUUUGAUUAAUAGUCGGUUAUACUACAACGUCAGUGCAUCGGCAAGCAUGCUUUCAACUGCUUAUAUUAUCCUCAGAAUAUUCUAAUCCUUCUUCUGUUGUAACAAUGGGUUUGUUCAUUUGUUUACCUAACAAAAUCGAAGGUUGGGGAUUAGUGGGGGCUUGGGGGUUAGGCAAGUUGGGAAAUUUGGAACACAUAGUAAUGAAUAAUGUGGACCCUGAGGAUUGCGUGCGAUUUCAUUCACCAUUAACGUGACUUUUUUGAGCAGGGGACGAAGUUUGGGUUUGAAAGUUGAAAGUGUACCAACCAACAACCACCUAAAAGCAAAGAAAUCAGACAUGCCAGUCCAAAAUUUCACUUUAAGCCAGUGACGCAUUAGUUGUUCAAGGCGUUGAGUUAUCGCUGAUGAACAUCUAUCUAUCUUCUAUGAUCUCCAAUUUGAUUUCCUGUGACAAAAAGUCUCAUAUUAUAGGUCAUUCUUUGGCCACAAAAGUCGUUUUUGCGGACUGGUUUGUUUUGGGAAAUAGAAGGUUCAGAACCCACUGUUAGUUUCUUCUCAUGCAACCUAAUGAUGAUUCAUCUCGAUGAUGACUAGUCUGCAAGAUAUAACAAGAUCGUCCAGAGUGUGCAUUCUCCUCGAUAACGAUCAUUUUAUCGGCAUCUAUUGGUACGGUCACCGGAUGCCAACGAUAAUCAGUCUCUCUGAUUUUAACUGGGAAUAUGAUGUCAUUUUGUUCUCUAGCAGAAGAUGAUGAGAUGUUGUCCCUGAUUGACAUCGAUGUCGGGGUUGAAGCCGGAUCGACAUUGAUGUAACAAAAGAAGAGGGGUGUGGAAGCUUAUGAUGCAAUCCGAAUUGCCGAAGAUAUUAAAUUUUCCAUGGAAUAAAAAGGCCAUGAAAUUUGUGGCUGGAAACACGCAAACUGCAGAAGGCCAAUAAUUUGUCACCUUUGCAAAUUAUUGACCUUUGCAGAUAAUUUGUCAGUUAGUAAGCGUGAUCGACGGAAACAGUGGCCGCCCCUCCCCUGUAGUCUAGUCCGUACACCUAUCCGUAUUGAAGAAGAAGAAAAAAUGAACUCUUUGACUGUUGGUGGCAGAAAAGAUAUCAACUUUAUAAACCCAGAAAAAAAGGGAAUGAACUCCUCCUCCCAAUUCGGCUGAAACUUGGACCUUGUAGUAGAAACAUUAAACACAAAACAAAAGGAAAAAGCAACACUGAUCGAUCAAAGCCCGUCUGUGUUUCAUAAUCUCAAAAGUGAACUACUCAGCAAAGCAACACGCCCAGCAAUAAUCGGCAGUAAAAAAAGAAACCCCUACAGUAUAUAGCAGAGGCAAUUCCCUAAUAUAUACCGGGGAUUGGUUCAUCCGAGUACUUAUUUAUAUUCUUGCUUCAACCUAAUUAAAGACGACCUCAAACACAGACAACCCAAGUCAUCGCUGCUUUCCAGAAUAAUCAAUCUCAAGCACUCUUGACGGUCGCAGCCUUGAUGAUGUCGAUGAACUCCGGCUGCAAAAUUAUAGAGUACAGAUUAGUAAAGCUAUAACAGCCAUAGGGAGAGGAAAGACAUUUAAAUAUCUGGUUCAAGUAAUUAAUCACACACCUUCAAAGAAGCUCCACCAACCAAGAAACCAUCAACGUCUGCUUGUCCUCCCAACUCUUUGCAGUUCCCCCCAUUGACAGAACCUAUAUUUAUACAACGCCGGUAACCAAAUUUGAUGAGUCAUGGAUUCAGUUAAUAUUCAACUACAGCAUCGUAAGAAAGAAGCUAGCUAGGGACGAGUGUAAUUUACCGCCAUAGAUAAUUCUGGUGGAUUGAGCUACUUCAGCACUGACGUUCUCAGUAAGCCACUUCCUCAAUGCAGCAUGGACCUGGAUCAGGAAAGCAAACGCGAUAGCAAAUGUAUCGUCAGAAUGUAGAACAUGAGAUUGGACAAGAAAAUGAAAGAGUAGUAGGAACUUGAAGUCUUCCAAGACCCCUUAUAAAUUUCUUCUGGUCGAGUUCAUUACGAUAUGCUUAUAAUACUCUACUGUAAGUUAAUACAGUCAGACGAACCAGAUGGAUUCUGAAUUCGGAUGAAUAUAGAAUUUCUAUACCAAUUAUUACGGGAAAAUUUCAAAAGUAGUUUUCAGAACCCAUACAGGACGUGGAAUUUCCAGUAGUAAUGGAGAUAUCAAACAACCAGGUUUAGCUCCGACUUACUUCUUGAGCCUGAGCAGGUGAUGCAACCUUUCCUGUGCCAAUGGCCCAAACUGGUUCAUAAGCCAGGACGACGUUGUCCCAACUUUUAAUCUUAUCUGCAAGAAACAGUAGUGGUUUAUGCGUAAACAGCUUACACAAGAAAUGACGGAUAAAGACAGGUAGAAGUAAAUGAAAAAUGUUCUACUUCCAUGUCUAAGUUGGCUUUAAAUAUGGAGUAAGUUAAGCAUGAAGUAAGUUGUAACUUAAGAGAAAUGUGCUCCAACAACAAUGACUCAAGUACCUGCAAUAGCUUUGGUUUGAGCAGAAACAACUGCCAGUGUUGAUCCUGACUCUCUUUGCUCAAGUGUUUCACCAAUACAAGCAAUCACUUUCAGUCCUUGAGAAAGUGCAUAUGCUACUUUAUCUCCAACAAACUGUACAUGCAAACAAAUAACAAUACAUUUCAUCAGCACAAAUCCAACGGUGGUAGACAUUCAAGAACUGUAAAGGCAGGCGUAUCAAGAUAAAUCCAAUAUGAGCGGACGGCUAAUGCGUUCCACUUAUUUAUUGAACAGGGUUCUAUGGUCGGUCCGCGACCCCUGGGUGGCGGUGGGGGGAAGGUUGCUUUGUUACCUAUUCCACUUGGAACCGCGAAUUCUAUUGAGUCAUAGUGAUCAUUUAUCAAAGAAUGACUUAAUAGGAUGAAACUAAAGUAGUUUUGCAUUAUGAACAACAAGGAAACUUGAAGUAAGAGGAAAAUCCGUCGACUUUAGAAAUCGUGAGGGUUCAAGUCCCUCUAUCCCCAAUAUAUGCAGAACUGUGGGUUACCUCAUCAGACUCAUUCAGGAGAGCUCGCCUCUCAGAGUGACCAAGAACAACCCAUGGAAUGUCCAAAUUGAUAAGCAUCUCAGCACUGUAACAUCAACUUGACAAAUAUUAGUCACUCAUAAAGAGAAGAAUACGUUUCUGCUACAUAUCAAAUAAAGGAAUUGGCUAGAAAAGAUCACAGAAUAAUCUCAUCUCUUGUAAACGAAGACAUUGUGCAUCUAAAAAGGCAAUUGUAAAUGUGCACAUACCUAAUCUCUCCAGUGAAAGCACCGCCCUUGCGAACCCAGCAAUUCUGGGCAGCAACCUUGAAGUCAGGCCUCAACAAGCCUUUAACCACGGGUAGGAAUACAUAUGGGGGGCUGACAACAACUUCUGCAAUACAAAAGAGAAAGGCCUUUGAAGUUAUAUGCUAAAAGAAUUCUAAAAGAUAUCAAAAGGAGCCAGACCAAGGGGAGUAAACAAACUUUCUUGUCUAACAAGUUUACUAUCAACAUCAGCCAUAAAGUGCUUCCGAUAACAUAUACGCACUUAACACAGAAUAAACUUAUCCAACCAACAUAGAACUUCAAAUUCAUAGAUCCCUAAAAAGAAAAACAUAUAUUGGUGCAAAGGGAAUACUGUAACUACACUUUCCUCCAUUGUCAGAGUCGAGAAAUUGUUAACUUAAAGAAGAUGCUCGCACGAACAGUGAUAUUCCAAUGAUCCUGGUUGCACUUAUCCAUAUCUAUCCUCAAACAGGAACAAAGCAUAUACAAUCCAACGUACCAACCAGACAAACUUGGCAGAAUCAGGAAAAAAAAUGUGGCAACUAGGCUGGAAUAUGCUUGAGGGGAUGUCAAUCAUAUUUGGUAAUUUAGUGAAGAUACCAAACCAAGGAUCAUCAAGCUAAAUGCAAGGUAAAAAUGGUGGGAGAACGAGGCAAGACUCACCAACAACAUCCUCGGAGGGAACCUCAGCUUCAUUCAGAAGGGUAACAAUCUUCUUAACUUCCUCAGUUGUGCCAUUCUGCAACAAGAAAAAAAUCGAGCAACAUAUAAUCAAGCCACAGCACAAAACGACGCAUCACUACGAUUAGCUUCCGAAGUUGAACUGUCGCACAGAUAGUAUAGAGCAGAACAAUAAUCAAUCAGAUCUAACACAAAUCGAAUGAAGACAUAUGUGCAUGUGGGAAAUCGGAUUUGUUCGACGAUCUAGAUCAUAAGCUGGCGAAGGGUAAUUCGGGAGGGGAGGCGAAGAAAGCAUCGAUGAGGGUACUUACGCAUUUCCAGUUGCCGCCGACGAAGAAUUUCCUGGCCAUUUUCGAGGGAAACGAGAGAUUGCAAUACCAAAAGGUUUGAAUAAAGAUGGAAACAACGCACGAUGUUCAGAUUCCGAUGGCUGAUAUAGAGAGUGAGAGAGGGUGAUGAUCAAAUGAUGCUGUCUUUUCUUGCCGCUGAUUCGCGCUGCGCCACUAGUUUUCUGGUAUUGCCCCUUUACUCGAAUAUUAUAAUAUUUAAAAAAUGAAAGAAAUGGAUAAUAUGGUAACCUGAAUCGGAUUGGACAUCGGAUAUUCCGAGGAUUAAUACCGUGGAGGACAAGUAUGCCAUAAGGCCCAUAGUUAGGAUGUGAUAUAAUUUGAGCCUUGUACUGUUUCUACUAUUUGGGCUUAUUUAAAUAAAGCCCGACCCAACCAAUUUCGGUUUUCUUUAUGGGCACAUCCGGUUCGAGAACACCUUAUUCACUAUCUCACGAUAGUAACUUGCUACCCACAUUCUAAGGCUUGGCAUUUUGGUCCAAGAAUUCGAAAAAACAGCCCGAAUCCGACCCGGUCAAUGCGGACAAAAUCCAGUUUGACCGGGUGGUGGAUCGGAUUCGGAUUAAUCUGAAUCAAAAGGUGACGGGCAGUGUGUGGGUAUCGGAUUUAUUGGUAUCCUAUCCGUCUAUGCCCGGAAGUAUAUAUACCUGGAAAAAAACCCUAUAUUAGUUUGAUUUAUGUUUCUAUUGGAGGGAUUAUAGUUUGGUUUAUGUUGGUAGUUGCUAUAAUGAGUUUUGCUAAUGACGGUUGCUAAACAAAUUUAGUAUUUGGAUAAUUUGAAGGUUGGGUUGAUUUUUUUUUGGUUUAAAUUUGGUUUUCAAUCCUGGUUUAGUAUGUUUCGGAAUAAAUUUGGAUCCCCAACCAACCCGAACACCGGCGAUGGACGGAGAUGGUAUGAAAUCUUAAUCCAAUUACUAUUGUCGGACGGAGAUUUUCCGAAUCUAAAAUACAACAGGUAGAUAAUGAAUUAUAAAUCCGGUUCCGACCCACCCAAUGGACAAAACUACACAUUCUAGCCCAAGCAAUUAGUUUUGUGUUAGUUUAGACAGAGACCAAAUCCAAUACCUUCACUGCUAAAAUAAUCUCUUACCUCCACACUGUGAAGUUAUAACUCGAACUCAGUCUCUGAAUAUACAUUGCUCACUAAUCGGCAAACUUUAUAUAAACAAAGCAAGGUGCAUCAGAUAGAUAUCAAUCACAGAGUUAUUAGUGCAUGGAUACCUUUUUCAUGGGUUGGAAGAGACGGCAAACAUAGAAAAUAUAGAUCAGAUUUUCAUUAGAGAUUCAUCGUUCAUACCCCCGAGAGGUACACAUAUUAUAAUCAUCCGAAUAAUCUCACAUUCCAAGCACCCAAGGUGGUCAUUCAUUUUCUAAAAAUUUGCAUUACAACGGCUAGCAAAAUGCACAUGACAGACACAUAGGUUUGUCCCUUACGGCCACAUGGCCAGAGAAUACUAUUAUCGGCCUUUGCUUGGUGAGUUCAUCAAUGGUUUCCAUUCUCUCAUAAUUAAUUACUCGAUAUAUAUCUAAUUUUUAAACAAACUAAAAUGGAUACAAAACACCUUUAUAUAUUAAUCGAAAUCAUUACAACUCGAAAAUAAUCAUACAUAAAAAUGCCUUCAUGUUCUAUUAGACUUCCAAAUUAAUGUAUUAAUGUGAGAAACAAAUCAUGUAUUUAUAUUCUCCAUAUUCCAUAACCAUUAAAGACAUAUAAAAUAAUGUAUCAAAUCUGGAGAAAACAACAGUCCACAGAAUGGCAGAAACUGUCAAAGUUCAAGCAACCAAAAAUAACAUAAAAAUAAAAAAUGUAUUCGCGAACUAAAUGGUGGACCCCACUUAAUAUACCUUCUUUAAUCCCUCACUCAUUCGUCUUCCAGUCAAAUUCCAUUUCCCUACGCCUUCUCCCUUCCAUCUUCCCUUAUCUAAUUAGACUAUUCCGGCGACUCUGAAACAUCCUCUCCGGCGGCGCAGAAAAAAAAUGGCUCAAACUUCUCUCAUCUUCCUCCUCCUCCUAUCCUACAUCUUCAUUUCUCCAUCCACCGCCUCAUACUCAAUCGGAGUGAACUACGGAACAUGGGGCGACAACCUCCCACCGCCAUCCCAAGUAGCAGAGUUCCUCAAAACCCACACUACCAUCGACCGAAUCAAAAUGUUCGACGCGAACCCCGACAUCAUCCGCGCCUUCGCUGACACCGGGAUCUCAGUCACGGUCACCGUCGCGAACGCCGACGUCCCUGCACUCUCCAAGCUCCCCGCCGCACAGGACUGGAUCGCGGCCAACAUCCUCCCCUUCCACCCGCAAACAACCAUCCGCUACAUCUUGGUUGGGAACGAGGUCCUUUACUGGAAGGACAGGAACGUAAUUGCAUACACCCUCCCGGCGAUGAAGACCGUGCACCACGCCUUGCAGUUAGCGAAUCUCACGGAUAUCAAGGUUACAACUCCCCACGCGCUCUCGUUCCUCGCCGCGUCGGAGCCUCCCAGCACUGGGGUGUUCAAGAAGUUCGACGGGGAGAUCCUCGAGCCGAUCCUGGACUUCCACCGCCGGACGAAGACCCCGUUUAUGGUGAACCCGUACCCGUUCUUCGGGUACCGGGACGAGGUGAAGGAUUACGCCGUAUUCCGGCCGAGUAAAGGGCUGUACGAUAAGCAUACGGGGAUAAAUUACACGAAUAUGUUUGACGAGCAGAUGGAUGCGGUUUAUUCCUCGAUGAAGAAGCUUGGAAAGGGGUAUGAAGAGGAUGUUGAAAUUGUGAUUGGGGAGACGGGUUGGCCGUCGGCGGGUGACCCGAACCAGCCCGGUAUUAGCUUGGAGAAUGCGCUGUCGUAUAACGGGAACGUGGUGAAGCAUGUGAACUCCGGGAAAGGGACGCCGUUGAUGCCGAAUCGGACUUUUGAGACUUACAUGUUUGCUCUGUUCAACGAGAAUCUCAAGGCUUCGAUCUCGGAGAAGAAUUAUGGGCUGUUCAAGCCUGAUUUCACUGCCGUGUACGACGUCGGCGUUAUGCGCAGCACGCCGGUAUGUUCCUUUAAUCUCUUGAUUAACUCUCUGCAUUUUGAAUUUGAAAUUUGAAUCCGAGUCAUCUGGAACGUGGCGGUGGCGCGUGAAUCUAACUCCUAUAUGUCCUCGAAUCUGCGAUAUUUUUCCUAAUUUCUGAAAUCUGCCAGCUUUGGUUCAGUCCGAUUUUUGUGCAGUGCAAGCAACAGUGGCUACUGGGUAGUGGCUACUGUACUUUGGUGGACACGAAAUUACCGAAAUAGGCUCAAUUUAAAUCACAAUAGCUGUUGAAAUGAUUGAUUAGCAGCUAGGGUUAAUGAUGUCUUUGUAGGUAUCUACUGUAGAAGUAUGGGAUGAUUGAAUUGUGACCGUUUGGAUUUUUUUAAAACUAGGCACAAGCUCCUCCGACGAGCAACGGAACUACCUCUCCGGGGAAGGCACCGCCGUCCGACGGAACCAAUCCAGCCCCGGCGGAGAAGCAAUGGUGCGUGCCGACAUCCGAUGCCAGCGAUGAAGCAUUACAAAAGAAUCUGGACUACGUGUGCAGCUUGGGAGUGGAUUGCCAGCCGAUACAGGACGGUGGAGUUUGUUUCAGCCCCAAUACAGUCCGGUCACACGCGUCGUACGCGAUGAACGCCUACUAUCAAACCUACGGCCACCACUAUUUCAACUGUGACUUCGACCGCACCGGAGUUGUAACCUCCACCGAUCCAAGUGCGUAUCUUUGAUUGUGAUUUUAAUUAUGAUUGAUUUCACGAUGUUGAUAGGUGUUUGUGUUGUGAAUGUGGCAAUAGGUUACGAGGCGUGCAGCUAUCCGUUGACCGGUAUGGAAUUGUUGGAGGUGAAGAAGUCGGUGGUCAAGUCUCUGUCGCCGAGAUUGGUUGGGUUGGCAUUUACUGAGUUGCUUGUGGCGGCGGGUUUCGUGGUGUCUUUGUUGUUCCACUUUGUUGUCUGAUUAAUAGGAAGAGAAGGCGAUUCUUUUGGGCUUAGAAAUGGAUGGGCCUUUCGGGUGAAGAAAACCAAAUGGUGGGCCUACGGUAUCUAGGAGGCGCUGCCUUUCGUUUAUGUAGCGGUAGCACAGUUGUUUAUUCGGUAGCUUUGUUUUUUAGGGCUUCAUUUCUUCAUUGUAAAAAGGGAUCAUGUUUGAUUAAUGCAUUUUUUUUCUUUCUUUUUUAGAAAAGGUGCAACAUGGGUAGGGUCAUCCAUUUUGGUACUACUUUUGUCGAAAUACGUUUAAUUUUCAAGAUAGGAUGGGAUUCGGUACGAUUAUGUUAACAUGAUCGAACCAUCUUGUAAGAUGUCAUUUCUGGUUUAAGACACAGAAGAGCCUUUUUUAUGGCCAUGAUGUACACUAAUAAGAUGAUUAGAGCAUGUUGUUUCCGGGCAAAUAGUGCAACUAAAGGAAAAACGACAUUAUCGCCCGACAAUCAUAAUUCAGACCCGACGGAGAAAAUGAGGCGUGUUGGUACCGCACGCCAACGAACUAGCUUCCAUUUAUCUCUUUGUAGUGCGUUGUAAACCAUUUACUUAUGGCUAUAUUUAGGGUUUGGUCAUGCAUUAAUAAGUUUGUUUGAGUUAAGCACCCAUUGGACUAUUCGAUCAGUAAGAUGGUUGGGUAGAAUUACGUAAAUUAUAUGUUAUUUAAACUUUAACCACUUAUUAAGACAUUUUAAUGAAAUCAAUCAAUGCAAAUAACUUAACUUUAAUGAACUAACUUAAACCACCUCUGACGUCCCGUUGCUUAAGUGCAAAGAAAUCAUUUCAGCCUUUCCCUCCGUUUGAAGUUUGGACGGUUCAUGUGGACGCAGCUGUUCGUGUUGUGGAAUUUAUCUCUCAAUUUAGAGUAAUUGGUCUUGUGAGUCGAUGGAGUUGCGUCACCUUUUUCUCGGAUACAAUACAAGUUUUUCCCAACUAUACGGACCCUCUAUUUUUUGAGUUUUUAGCAAUUUGGCAAACCUUAUACGUUGUGCAAGUCAGGCAUUUGGAAGGCUUUAUCAUCCAUUCAGACUCAGCAGAGGCAGUUCGAUUGAUCAAUUCAUCCAUCUGUAACAUACAGGUAGGACAGAUUCUACCGGAAUGUCAAGCUCUACUAUGAAAUUUGCAUUUGGUUUCUCUUAUUCAUGUUUUUCGUUUGGGUAAUUGCGCCGUCCACUAUGUGGCGCGUACAACUCUAAAUUAUCCUAACAAUAUCUCAUUAUUUUCGCUUACUUGUGUAAUCUCUACAACAUGUUAACCUUUUUUUUUAUGAAAGUAACAAGAUUUAUUAUCUUCGAGAAAAAAAAAAGAAAUCAUUAAAUACCAUGAUAAACAAAUAAUUUCUUAAUGAUGAUGGGAUAUGAUGAUAAAAUAUCGAGAUAAACAAGCAAACCUAAAAAACUUUCUUUUUGAAAUUUGAAGGAAUUAACAAAGAUUAAUACUAUUUAACGCGCUAAUUUUUGAAUCAAACGACGCCCUAAACUUCGUAAAGAUGAUAUAGUCCUUGGCUUUUCAUUCAUUUAGGCCGGCAUUAGGGUCCGACCUAAAUCCUACACCCUAAAACCCUAUAAUCUUAGAACCUUAAACCAUAAAUUCUAAAACCCUAAACCCUUGAUCUUAUAACCCUAAUCCCUAAANNNNNNNNNNNNNNNNNNNNNNNNNNNNNNNNNNNNNNNNNNNNNNNNNNNNNNNNNNNNNNNNNNNNNNNNNNNNNNNNNGAGAAGAGUGCGCAAGAGUGGUGGGGUAAAAAAGAGGGUUUUAAAAAUGGGACCGGAGAUUGAACUGGUGAGUUUAGGGAUUUAGAAUUUGAUGGUUCGACCGGGGUUCGAACAUUUUCAAACCGGACUGGACCGUUUUAAUUAUUAAAUAAAUAAAGUUAAUUCGGACCGGACGAUUUUUUAUUGAGCCGGAUCAAACCGGUAGUAUAGAGAGUUCAAUAUCAUAAUCUAGAUUGUAAAAAAUAUAGUAUUGAAUCAUUUUUUUAAAAUUUUCAAAUUAUAUAAAUGAUUUGAAGUUUUUAUUAAUCAAAUAAUUAUAAUUUAAUGUACAAUUUACUUAAUUUAUGGUAAAAUGUUGCUUUUAGUGUUAAAUAGCUGUCAUGAUGUUUAUUAUUAUCAAUUAAAUAUAUAUAUUAAUCAAAUUAUGAUAUUUGUAGAGAUGGUAAUCACUCAUUCUUUUUUACUUGAAAUAUCAUGGUUCAAAUCCCAGUCCCACAUUAUUAAAAAAUAAAAAGUGUAGCCAUAAAAAUCAGGUCCAACCGGGCAAACAAUUUCUGUCAAACCGGCCGAAUUUCGCGGUUAAACUGGGUCAACACCCAGUUUUGACCAUUCUCAUCAGCCGGCCACUCAGUUUCGGCUCUUUGGCUGAUGUACGGUCGAACCGAUCGGACCGGACGAUCCAAAAUUCUUAACCACGAAUAUUUUUAUUAUGGGAUGUAAAUGUCCAUUGUGUAACUCCUNNNNNNNNNNNNNNNNNNNNNNNNNNNNNNNNNNNNNNNNNNNNNNNNNNNNNNNNNNNNNNNNNNNNNNNNNNNNNNNNNNNNNNNNNNNNNNNNNNNNNNNNNNNNNNNNNNNNNNNNNNNNNNNNNNNNNNNNNNNNNNNNNNNNNNNNNNNNNNNNNNNNNNNNNNNNNNNNNNNNNNNNNNNNNNNNNNNNNNNNNNNNNNNNNNNNNNNNNNNNNNNNNNNNNNNNNNNNNNNNNNNNNNNNNNNNNNNNNNNNNNNNNNNNNNNNNNNNNNNNNNNNNNNNNNNNNNNNNNNNNNNNNNNNNNNNNNNNNNNNNNNNNNNNNNNNNNNNNNNNNNNNNNNNNNNNNNNNNNNNNNNNNNNNNNNNNNNGUGGUACGCCACCCCCCCCGCCAGCCGUCCCUGCCGGCGGUUGCCUUGGUGGUUGUACAGUCGGAACUCUGUUAUCGUCGUUGUUUCCCGCUGACGAUAGGUGACUACAGUUUCCAAUGCACAUAAUAAACAGUACAAUGGUUAUUGGAAUAGCAUCUAAAAGAAGGAAAAUAAUCUCCGUCAUCAUGAUGAGAUUGAGGGACGAAAGGCAGAAGUCUUUUACCCUAAUUAGCUUACUCGAUUUAUAAAUUUAAGUUUAUGAUGAGAGACUAUUCCUUAAUUUAGUUCCCAGCUGGUCUUAUAUUGAUUUGAGGUUGGUAAACCAAAUUCUUAUCGCAUUAGGAGACUACUAAUUAAUUCUUUUAUUUUUAUCAAAUGACUACUAAUUAAUUAUUAAAUUAAUGUGAUUGAGUGCUAUCGAGAUUUGAUGUAUUAGUGUUGGUGUCAUUGUACUUUUCGAUUAAUGUCACUUUUGAAAUGCCAUUACUUUGUUUAACACACACAAAAUCCUUUUUUACGGGAACAUGUAACUAAUAAGAUGAUUAUAACACGUCGUUUCUUGAAAAAUGACAGAACUCAAGAAAAUACUUUAUCGUUCACGGUUGGGUCGUGGGUAGUGGUUGGUAUACGAGCGAUUAUGAGGCAUGAUUGUGUUGGUUUCGUCCUAUCGCAGUGCCAAAUUAGAUGUCCUUAGUUGGUGUUAGCCUUUGGCGGAGUUGUUUUUUCUUUCUAGUAUAUUUGGUGGCUGGCCAUUAUUGUGUUAUCCGUUUUUUUUUGCAUUGAUUUGCUUAGAAUAAAGAGGGAUUGCUUCUUAGGGUAAUUUUUAGUGUUUAAAUUUUGAUGGGGAGUUUUGGUGGGUUGUUUUGUGUUUGGUUGUGUGAGUCUUUGUUUGUCUCUUUCCGUACAUUUUUUCUCAUGUUUAUACAUAAAUGAAGUUCAUUAAUAAAAUAAAAUAAAAUAAAGAUAGUUGAGUAGAAUAACUUGCAUAUUAUUUUUAACUUUGACCCACUUAUUUUGACAUUCUAGUUGGGGCGAAUGUAAAUAGCAUAAAGCGGUGAUGAACUAACCUAGACCACCACCAAUAUCUCGUCGAUUAAAUAAAAAGAAAUCCAUGAAAAAUAUCAUGAUAAACAAGGUUUUCAAGAGGGUGGAGGUGCAAAUUCAUGAAUGCCUGGUUGGAGGCGGUGGAUGUCAUCGACAAAUUCGAAGAAUAAGGGGUGAUGUCUUCGGAUGAGAGGGUCCGUAAAAUGGGGCUCAAGGGUCGCCUGGAACAGCUGUGGAAGUUGGAAAAAAUCUCAUGGCGACAAAAGGUUAAGGAGCUUUGGUGUAAGGUGGGUGACUGCAACUCAAAAAAAUUUCACCGGGUGGCCAAUGCUGAUCAUCAAUGGAAUUUAUUAGCUGCCUUGAUUUGGAGGGGAGACAGGUGGAAGGUCAAUAGGAUCUGCUCGCGACGGAGGUCUCUUUCUACUCGAAUCUCUACUCGGAAACUUGGGCCACUCGUCCGUUCCCUUUGGAUCUCGAAUGUUCCAGCAUCCCUAGGGAGCAGGCUAGGGAGGUGAUUAGGCAGACGACCAAUUAGGAGAUUUGGAUGGUGAUAAAGAAUUGUGCGGGGGCAAAAGUCUCCAGGACUGGAUGGAUUUCGACAGAGUUUCUCAAGAAGAACUGGAAUAUCAUCAAGGUGGAUUUCUAUGAGGCGGUGAAGGAUUUUUUUUCCUCUAAUCAUGGUUUUCAAACUGAACAUCGAGAAGGCCUAUAAUCAUGUCAAUUGGAAGUGUUUGUUGACGGUGCUAAAUGAUGGGCUUUAAUGAGGUGUGGGUGAAGUGGACGAAGGAGUGAAUUUCAACGACACCCUUCUCUAUACUAAUCAAUGAGGAGGUACUUUCGGAGCACUAGGGUCUUUGUCAGGGAGAUUCCCUCUAACUGUAUCUUUUUAUUUUGGUUAUGGAGAUUCUUUUUUUGAUCUUGGACAAACUGAAAAUUGGAUGAUCCGCGGUUGCUUGUUGCGGUUUUAGUGUGCUUCGAGGUGAUUACCGGCCUAAGGGUGAAUCUACACAAGUCUUAUAUGUUCACUAGAGGGGAUGUCCCUGAUACUCCCUACCUGGCGGAAGUUUUUGGUUGUGAAAUCGAGACCCUUUCGACUUCGUAUCUCAAUCUCCCGUUGGGGGAUUUAAGUUGCAAAGCUCCACUUUUGGAUCCAGUGAUUAUCAAGGUUGAAAGAAGAUUGGAUUCAUGGAAGGUGAAUUUGCUUUCUUUUGAGGCUCGCUUAGUUCCAGUCAAGAGCCCCAAAAAGAAAGGGUCUGUUUUUAGAUUUCCUUGCUCGGUCAUCACUAAGAUCGAGAGGCUUCAGAACCGGUUCUUAUGGGCGGGGAAUCGGAAGGCGGAUAAGAUCUAUUGGGUAAGAUGGGAGGUGGUGAAAACCCCAAAGGAAUCAAGUGGGAUUGGCAUAUACGACCUCAAAAUUUUGAACUCCUCAUUAUUGUGUAAGUGGGGUUGGAGGUUUGCGAAGAAAAAGGGAGUCUGGUGGAGGAAGUUAAUCGAGUUGAAGUGUGGCAGGUGCCUCUCCGGGCGGCAAGUGUCUUGGAAUUUAGGUUCAGUUGGUUGUUCGAUUUGGAGGUGGAUUAGCCACAAUACAGUGAUGGUAAUGUUUCUUAAUUUUGACAUAAUUUCGGUAACUUGGUAUAAAAUUCGGUAUUUGGUGUAUUUUUGGUAAUUACCGAAUUACCGAAAAUGUUGUAUUUAAGAAGAAAAACCCUAAACCUACCUUAAAUAAUUCCCAAUCCGCAUUUAUUUCGGUAAUUUUUCAGUAAUUUUGGUAUUUUUCGAUAUUUAUUUUUGAUAAUUUUGGUUCAAGUUCAAGUUUUUGGUAACCAAUCGACAAAAAAUAGCCUUAUUCAGUAUUUCGGUAAUUACCGAUACCAUAACAAAAUUUUCGAUUUCGGUAACGACAAUUACUGAAAAAAUUUCGGUACGAUAAUGGUUCUCAAAUUGGAUAUAUUUUCGAUAUUCGGUAAUCGCUCGGUAAUAUCGUUACCGUACCGAAAUCCAACAGUAGGUGCAGUUCAAUACUUUCCUUACACUGUCCAAGACCUUGUGAUGUGGUGGGGCUCAUUCCCGAGUGGAAAGGGAUGAACCAUGAUCAGCGGUUUAAAGGAGCGGCGAACCCUUUGCUGCAUUCUUUUUUGUGAUAGAUUUGGAAGGAACGUAAUGAUAGAAUUUUUGAUGAUAAAACUGCCACUUCUAUUUCGGUUACUAAUAGGAUUUUGAUCGCUGUUGGUAAUUGGUUGUCAGCGGUUGGUGUGUUUGCAGAGGCAGAUCGAAACGCUUGGUGGUUGUACUCUUUCUCAUCGUGCCAUCUCCAGCCGCAGCCACCGCCAUUUUUCAGGUCUACUACUCCUCCGUCUUCAUUCCGAUCUACUACUAUCCAGUAUUUGAACUUAUCGACUUCCCCUAUAACAGGUUCAAGGAAGCUGCCGCCGCCACAACAACGACUGGAGGAGCUUCUCCAGCAACUGUCCUUAUCGGCGCCUGUGUUGGUGGUUGUACUUGUACGGUUGGAAUUCUGUUAUUGUCGUUGGUUCCAUUAAUUUAUGUAGAAGGCGUGAGAAAUUGAGGAUUUUUUAUGUUUAUAUAGAAGACAAUUAUGCUUUGGGUGUUUAUAAUAUAUUUAUUUAAGAUUUAUUAUUGAUGUAAAAAUCAUAUUAUAAUGUAUUUGGCAUUUUGAAUAAUCGUUUUGAUAAAUAAUAAAAGUUAGACGCUCCUUACAAAAUAUAAUGAAAUAUAUUUGGAUCAUUAAAUAGUGAAAUUGUAUGUUUGACAUAUGUGUAGAUGUAUAUGUGUAUAAUGUACAUGGAUACAUAAAUCUUAUUUUUUAAAAACAAUAUUCAUUAAAUUAGUCGUUUCAAAAAGAUAAAGGUGCUAAAUGAAAUUAAUAAAACAUUCACGGUUUAAAUCAAAAUUUUCCAAGGAGUUCCAUUGGAGCUGCAGGCCCAACAAAAACAAACGAGAUAGUUCUUCGUUCUCCAUUAGUAAAUUUCGAGCACAAUUUUUAUUUGACGGCCUAACAUUCAAACUAAACGACGUCUUACUUUGAGUAAAUUACAAUAUUAUCCUUUCGUAAAAUCGAAAUCCAUGAAAGAAAUUGUGUAUACUGACUAACUCAAACACUCACAAACACUCCCAAACACUCUCAAACGUUGAUCCGAAGAAGAAAUUGAAGUGAUUUAGUGUUUAGGGUUUGAUGGUUUAGGAUUCUAGGGUAAAGAGUUUUAGAAUUUAAUGUUUAGGGUCUAAUNNNNNNNNNNNNNNNNNNNNNNNNNNNNNNNNNNNNNNNNNNNNNNNNNNNNNNNNNNNNNNNNNNNNNNNNNNNNNNNNNNNNNNNNNNNNNNNNNNNNNNNNNNNNNNNNNNNNNNNNNNNNNNNNNNNNNNNNNNNNNNNNNNNNNNNNNNNNNNNNNNNNNNNNNNNNNNNNNNNNNNNNNNNNNNNNNNNNNNNNNNNNNNNNNNUUCUAGGGUUAAGGGUUUUAAAAUUUACUGUUUAAGGUUUGAUGGUUUAGGAUUCUAGGGUAAAGGGAUUUAGAAGUUAGAGUUUAGAGUUUGAUGGUUUAGGAUUCUAGGGUUAAGAGUUUAGGGUUUGAUGAUUUAGGGUUCUAAGGUUAGGGUUUAGAGUUUUAGAAUUUAGGGUUUAGGGUUUGAUGGUUUAGUAUUCUAGGGUUAAGGGUUUUAGAAUUUAGGGUUUGAGGGUAUAGGGUUAUAGGGUUUUAGAGUUUAGGAUUUAGGGUGUAGCUUUUUAUGAAUGAGGGUUUAGGGAUUAUACAAAAUUCGGUCGGACUGAAAUUUCGACCGGAGGACCACCCGACGGCAUCGAAAAUUCGGCAGAAAACGAUCACAAGGGCAGGCCGAAACGACAUUCCGAUCGAAACGGCCUUCCGGCCGGCACUAGUGGCCUGCCGAAACGAGCUUCCGGCCGGCACUAGUGGCCGGCCGAAACGAGCUUCUGGCCAGGCCCUAGUGCCGACCGGUACCUCUUAUGAUCUUUUUUUCGAUUUCGUACCUCAAACGACGCUUCCGAUCUUCGAUUUCUUAUUUGGAUCAUGUUUGUGGGUGUUUGUGAGUGUUUGUGAGUGUUUGAGUUAGUCAAUCUACACAACUUCUUAUAUGGAUUUCGAUUUUAUAAAAGGAUAAUAUUGUAAUUUAUUUAAAUUAGGGCGUCAUUUAGUUUGAAUGUUAGGGCGUAAAAUAGAGAUUCGGAUAGAGUUCUCCAUUAGUAAAUUUCGAGAAACAAAUAGAAGCGCCUGGAAGAGGACGACAGUCCCCAUUCACCGGUCCUCCACCGUCGUCCUUUCUCACCGUCGCCACUUAGAUUCAACCGCGGUGUAAACGGAAAGAAGAAUCGAUUCACGUUGCUUUGGUCUCCAACGGGACUGCAUUCGUUGUAGCGUUUGGUUGUUAUCCAGAAUUCACAACCUUCAACCCCCUGUAUCAACAUCUGGUAAGGGUAGCUUUGGCCCGUCUUUCUUCUUCAAUCAGGGCUCUUCUGUUCACGUCCCAGCUGCCGUAAUUGUAAUUUUAAGAUUUGUGAUAUUGCGGUUUUUGGUUUGGUAUUUUCUCUUGGGCAUUUUAACGAGGUCGUUCUAGGGUUUGAUGUAAUUCGUUCGCUAUGUCGUUUUUUUAAUAGUCGGUACUAUUCCACUGGUACUGCUUGUUGAGCUGAAUUCGAGAUUUGUAGCAUCUCCUUGAGAUUUGGCCAGUUAUGCUAUUUGUGAUAUCCUUCUUUCUCUGUAUAUGAAUCAGCAAUCCGUUAAACAUGUGCUUUAUUAUAUCAGUUCUUUUGCGGGUCUAGUUCUGGAAAUAUAAGCAAAAUGGUAGCCAUACAUUUGUGUGUGACUGGAUUUAUGAAUAACUACAUUCCUUGCUUUGUCAAGAAGUACGUACUCCUGUACAAUUUAGUGACUUUGAUUUUCCCAAGCUCACGCUGAACUUUUUUUCUUUCUUAUUAUUGAGUUCCUCCAUUGGAUCAAACAGUUCUUCAUUGGAUGCUUAAGCUCAUCCAUACAAGUCAGACUGUUGAAUGUACAUGCUUAAGCGGUUUGCUCUGUUUUGCACCUUCAGCUUAAUCAAUUAGAAUGUUUUUCAUGGUUGUUCACUAAAGAAUGUCCUAAAAUUAAGCAUGUACCCUUUCAGUAGUGCCUUACGCUUACUGGGUUUCAUAUGGGUUAAAAUCUUGAAGUUUCUUAACAGGCCAUUGAGCAUUAUGAGUUCUAUAACUUUAUCUGAUGAUGUGCUUGCAUAACAGGAACUAGUGCUUUAGUUGUCAAUAUUAAGUUAAUGUUUUACUACUUUCAACUUGGUCAUAGUAUGUUCCUCAAGACCUCAACCAGGCUAUAUUCUCAAGUAAAGAUCGGAUUAAUGCUUUGAUUCCUUCUUAUAUGGCUGUAUAUCUACACCAGUGAAAUUGAAAACGACCUUUCUCUGCAAGAGGUUCGGUUUCUUAGAAAAAAUGGAUUUUGAUUUUCGUUGGGUUCCUAGCUGAUUUGCCGAAGAGUUUCAAAUAAUUACGUUGAUCUCCAUAUGUUCCUCUGUUCUAUCCCUUACAAUUCUUUGUUAAUGCUCUUGGUUUACUCUUGUGGGUUUCUUCUGAUGUAUGUGCCCAUUCAGACUGCAGGUUGACCACUCUGUUUCAAGAUGCCGGCCACAGCUGGAAGGGUUCGCAUGCCUGCAAACAACAGAGUGCAUAGUAGUGCUGCCCUUCAGACUCACGGUAUAUGGCAGAGUGCCAUUGGUUAUGACCCUUAUGCCCCCAACAAGGAUGACGCAAAAGCUUCAGCACAGCCAAAAGCAUCGGCUGCCGAACCUGACAGCGAGAAUGCUUACACUAGUUUCCAGGAUCUUAUGGCACUUGCACGUAUCACCGGCUCCAAUGCCGAUGAGGUCCGUGGUGCUUGCAAAAGAUGUGGACGGGUCGGACACCUCACUUACCAAUGUCGAAACUUCCUCAGCUCAAAGGACAAAGACCCUGCAGCAAUUCACGCUGCAGCUUUGUCAGGAUUGAACAAAAUAAAGGGGAAUACUAAAGGGGAUAGUGAUGACGAAAGUGAAGAAGAGGAGGAGAGUGAGACUUCUGAUUCGGAAGUUGAUCCAGAGAUGGAGAGGAUCAUAUCCGAAAGAUAUGGGAAGAAGAAUAGUGGGAAGUCGAAGUCUUCCAAGAAGAAGAAUAGUGGGAAGACGAAGUCUUGCAAGAAGAAGAAAGAGGAUUCGGAUGAAGAGAGCGAGGAUUCUGAUACGGAGAAGAGGAGGAAGAGAGGAAGAUCGAAGAAAAGGAGGAGCAGGAAGAGUGGAAGUAGCGACUCGGAGGAUGACAGUAAGAGCAGGGGACGCAGAAUGGAGAAGAGAAGAAAGAGAGAUGAUUCUUCUUCUGACGAAGAGGAAAAAGUGUGUCGUAAGAAAAGUCGGAAAGAGAGGAGAAGGAGACGGAGUCGUCGUCAUUCUGAUGAUUCUGAUACCGACUCAUCCGAGGACUCUCGACAGGAGAGCAGGAAGGCUCAUCGACUUCUGGCUCGAGUGACUCAGAGGAUGAUUCAAGGGCAGGGCUGGAAGAAGAGUUCAAAGAGGUCUGAGAAGAAAAGCAGGAAGCUACAGAAUGGUAGAGAAUAAUGAGUCACUGGUUUAGAAUUGAUGCAGACAUGAAAGAACAUUAUUUGGGAUUUUGUUGAACUUGGGAUUGUAAUUUCGAUGUGUAGACUAAACGUGAAGUGUCGAUGCUCUGAACAUGGAUUUGAUUUCUUCAUUUGGUAAAAUUCCAGUUCUUCCAAAAUGCAUAAAGACCCUUGUACUAUUUUGGCUGACAAAAGUUGAAAACUGCAAUACUUAAUUGCUCUUCUGUUACACAUUAAUGUCUUAACCAGAAAUUCUUUGUCUGAGUUUUAGGUUUCUACAAGAAGAAAUUUGUCCCAUGGAGUUGCUUAUCUGGUUGAUGUGGACAGAAGGCUUUUAUGAUUUUUAAUACAGAUUCAUCAAAUCCAGAUUUAGCCCAAUCGAUAAUGGAGUACGGCCCAACUGUCAAAAUUCCACCUCCUACUACACGCCCACUGCAAACGAAAACGAAAACUGCCGACAGCCACGAAUGCAAGGAAAAUCACCAACGGAGAGGAUGAAGUGGAACUCAGUGAUCGGACCGAUUCUUCGCCGCGGGGCAUCCAAUUUUCUUGCCCGUUCCUCGCCGUGGAUUCUCCCUGAAUCCGCAACUCCCCUCCCCGGCCUAUUCUCUUCACCUAGCUUCCCGAGGUUCUUCGGGAAUCCCUCUUUCGCUGCAGCAGCAAGCACGAACGCAGCUGCUUUCCAUGCCUCAACUCCCAUGCAAUUGAAUCGGAACUUCAGCUCCUCGGCAGGUGAAAUCAACUUUCCCUAUUCCUUAUUUCUCAAAGAUGCAGGCUUUAAUCAACUUUAGUUUUGUCUCAGGUUCAACCAACGUUUUGCCUAUUAAGACUGAAGAGGAGUACAAUAGCUCUAUGAAGAACGUCCAUGGUCAUGAUUUGUUUUCCCCUUGUUUGCUGCAUUUGGGAAUGCCGAAUUAGUCGACUCCUUCAUAUUCUAACAAUUUAGCGUCAAAUGUUUCCGUCUUGUUAACCAGAUAAAUCGCUUCCGGCAGUCUACUACUUCACUGCUGUAUGGUGUGGGCCGUGUAAGCUUCCAACCCAUCUUAUAAAUUUUUCUGUUUUAUUUAACAAAUGUCAAAUUUUGCUACUAAUUAACAACUGUUGUGGUUCCAAUGUCAAUUUUUGUGCAGGUAAGUUCAUAUCUCCAGUCAUUACACAGCUAAGCGAGGAAUAUCCUCAUGUACCGACUUACAAGAUUGACAUCGAUGAGGUGAUAGUUGUGUGAUGGAUGUUCAAUUGCUUCUCAUCAUCAUUUUGGUUUGAUCUUGUUUUCGUAAACUUUGGUUGUUGAUCACUUUGCAGGAGGGGCUGGAUAAUGUAUUGAGCAGAUUGUUUAUCACCUCUGUGGUAAAUGUUGCUUCCCCACUAUUACCUUUUUUUGUUUCAUUUAGGUUUCCUGAGUAAAAUUGUGUUUGCUACAAAGCUCGUUAUUGUUCGUCAGUUAAAUGAAUUUCUUGAACUAUCGAAAGGACCAUUACUGAAUAGUGAUCAUGUUGCACCAGUGGAUGUGUACUGUUUGAUUUCCCAUUCAUAUGCUGACUGGUGCCUUGUCCCGAAUUUCAUAUGUGAUCUUACGUAGAUCUUCGCAUUUCGUAUUCUGUCAUCUUUGGUUGUUGAGGGUCUGUAUAUAUUGAUUGAUUGUCUACGUACCUUGGUAUUCAGCCAACCCUCCAUUUCUAUCAAAACGGGAAGAAGGCAGCUGAAGUUGUUGGGGCCGAUGUUGCUCUCCUAAAGGAGACAAUGGAAGAACUCUACGGGUAAUUGUUCGAAUCUUGAACUUCGGGCAGCCCUCUGUGAUUCAUUUUUUGUUAAUGUUUUUGUACUUUGAUGUUUACCUGGAUUCAGGAAAUAGUAGACGAAGACUAUGUGUAUGUGACGCCACAAUACUCUGGACGGCAUUUCCUGGUGUCCUCGUUAGGCUGUUCGUCUCCAAAGUACUUGGUCAUAGACAAACUCUCAUGUUACUACUUCUUAAGUUGAUUCAUUUUGUUGCCAAGUCAUUGUGUUCUUAAGUGGAUACAUUUUAUUGGUUUGAUGGUGUAACAUAAAUUAUGGGAUCCUUUAGGCUUUAGGUGAUUCCGUAGGAGACUAAAUUAUGGGAUUCUUUAGGUGUACCAUAAAUUAUCCGCAGCAACUUUUUGAAGGUGAAUGACAUGGGGCGGGGUUAUACUUGGGAAGAUCACAGGAACUGGAUAAUCGUCGUGUAUGGCCUCUGAUAUUGCGCUUUUUCAUUUGGUAUUUUGCGCAUUUAACGCCUGCCAUUUGUCAUUCUGAUGAUUAUGUUACCGAUUCAUCCGAGGACCCUUGUAAGCACAGACGGAAGAGCAGGAAUGCUGCAUCGUCUUCCGGUUUGAGUGACUUGUUUGAUAAUCCGAAGGGUGGAAGGAGUUCAAAGAGGUCUGAGAAGAAGAGCAUGAAGCAGCGAUAGGGAUAACUGAGUCAUUGAUUUCAGAAUUGAUGCACACAUGAAAAGAACAUUGUUUGGGAUAUUCUUGAGCUUUGGAUGGUAAUGUUGGUUCAUGUGUAGGCUAUACGUGAAGUAUAGAUUUUUAUCAACAUGAAGGAAACAAACGAAUGAAACAUACAGUGAAAGGGAAGAUAUCAAAUCCAUCUUUAGAACUUCCAGUUCUUCUGAAAAAUGCAUAAACAGUUAUCGACUUAUCGUUCUUGAGAGCAUUUGUGGGUCUUCAAUUCCAUCCGUCCGCUGAUUGUUGAUUUUUCGAUGUCGGCACAGCGAAAUGAAUGUGUGUGUCUCGCUCGAAAAAUGUGCAACUAAAAAGAUUGGCUUUUAGUGAACUCCGAAACGAGUGGCACCGGCCACCUCCUCCUUUUUUGCACGGGGAAUCGGAGAACCGAUUCAAGAACCCCAUUUUACCAAGCAACUGCAAAAAAAUAUACAAAGGCAGAUUCUUCAGAGAGAGAGAGAGAGAGAGUUUCAGUGUGAUCUUUUUUGUAGAGAGAAGAAGAUGCCGAGCAGCAGCUUUACUGGGUCGUUAACUACUCCCACUGUUGGUGUGGCAAUCGACACCGGCAACCCCGUACUCGACCUCACCGUCGAUGGUUUCUUGAAGACCGCCGGUGUAAAUUAAUCAACCCCCUGUUUCCAAAACUCCUACAUUCACCCCCAUUUCGAGAUCUGCUUACUGAUUUCAUCGUCUGGGACUUUUUGCAGGUGGCCGCAGUAAGGGUACUCGCUGAUGACACCUUUCACUCCGUCAAAAAAGGUCGGCCACUCUUUUUUUGUCAAUGAAGUCAUCAAUGAAAUCCUCUGUUUUUUGUCUAACUUGACUGCAUUUUUAUCAGGGUCACUCUCAGGAAGUGAUAUUGAGAAAUCGGUGAGUAGUGAAUACAAACUGAUCUUGUUGAUCUUAAUUUUUUCUCCAUGGCCUUCUCUAAAGGGAGGGGUUUUUGCUGUUGUUGGGUUGGUUGAUUGCAGCUGAAAAAGAUGUGCAAGGAAGGUGCUUACUGGGGUAAGCGAACUUUUGAAUCUUGCUUGCAUCUUCGUUAGGCAUUUUCCAUUUCUUGGGUUUCUGAUUUUGGUGAGAUUGAAAACAGGGGCAGUAGGUGGAGUUUACGUGGGGGUGGAAUAUGGGAUGCAGAGGAUCCGAGGAAGAAAUGACUGGGUAAUCACCAUCAUCAUCUUGUUGAUAAUUUGUUCUGUUUUUUUUUGGGUUUUCAAUUAUGUAUUGUUGAUGCUGGUUUGGGUGUCGUUAAUGCAGAAAAAUGCAAUGCUAGGAGGGAUGGCGACUGGAGCGCUGAUGUCGGCAGCCACCAGCGAUAGCACGGACAAGGUUAUCAGUAAUGCUAUAACUGGAGGCGCCAUUGCCACUGCUUGCAAGUUCCUCAACCAUCUCAUCUGAUAAUAUCCGGCGGAGCCCAUUGGGUGCAAUGUGGGAUAUGGUUGAAUUGUUGAGAAACGCUGCUAAUGGUUUUACUGUUCUCUUCUCAAGCUAGCGAUCAUCAAGUUUUAAAUUGUUCAAUAAAAUGCUUCCAUUUAAUCUCUCAGAGUCUGAGAUGAUGACGAAAGAGAUGUCUUGUGCAGAGUAGUAAUAAACUGUGAGACACUUCGGCUGGUACUAGACUGACCUUCCGAUUAGUUCGACGUCACUAGUGGGUAAUUGGGCAGGUAAUAAUACAAACAAAUGGUCUCAAACCCACUCCAAUUUUUCAAACAGUGAUAGAUAGCGAUUGCUGUUUUGGCACACAUAUCAACAACUACCAUAGCACAACACUCAGAAUCUGCUUUAAUUAAUCAAUCCACCGUCCAAAUUAAAUAAUUAAUGAUGCCAUGCACAUAUCAAACAAAGACGAUCCAGUAGAAUCUGUCAAGGUUCUGGUUUAUGUUCGUCCAAAACAGCUGGAUCAUACUGAAUUAUUGAUGUGAGAUUAGAUUGCAUAAACCUGAAGAAAACAGAGCCCAUUUACCCUGCUUCUUCAGUUCUUCAUCCCAAUAAUGGAGGGCAAAGAAACAGAGACUUUUCUUCACAAUCCAAAAGCUUGCGGGCUCCAUCCUCCCAGAUAUUUUACAGAAGUGUCCAUUGAUAGUACGCCACAGUUGUUUUUGGAUACAAAGCUGAGAGCUUUUUGACUUCAACACUCCUUACUUUAGCUCGAUCAAUCACAGUGAAAAAAAUACUCCUUUCCCCCUAUGAUUGAUUAUGCAGAGUGUAUGCAGUUUGAUGGACUAAACAUUGAUAGAUAUCUAAACCAAACCGUCCAAACCUGUGACGUGAUUUAUCAGUUUGUUCUAUGGACGUACCUUAUCAGUUCUGAUUACUUGUUUCAAGCUUGUUACUAAUUGCAAUCAUCAUCAUCAAAACAUAGUAGUGGAUAUUGUCAUGGAAUGUUGCAUUUCAAUGUCCCUCAAAAGAACGGUAAAGGGGUUUAGGUUUGCACCUUUUGAAAGGAGUCACCGAGACUUGAAAUAGAGGCAUUCGGGUAUUUAAAGACUUCGAUACCAUUAUCAGAUACAGAUAGAGAUAAGAUUUUAUACGUGUGGAUGAUCGUAGCCUUGUUCACGUGAUAUUGGACCAUUUAACUGCUUAAUUAGCCUUUAAUGAUCCAACUAACUACGCCUAAAACAGAGAUAUUGUACGGCUGAAAACAGAGCAAACCGCUUCAGAUUUUAGGAAACGACGAUAUUAUGAUGAUAAAGUGCUAGGUGGUGAAACCCAGCAACAAUAGCAACAAAACGUACACACAACAAACAGAGAAACCUAAUUGACUGACACGGAAAUCAAAGAAGAACCAGCCACAGCAACAUCACCUGCCAUGGCUAGCCGUUUCUUCUUUUAUUUACACACAACAACAAAACACAACUGCCCUUUCUUUCUUUCUUUCUUUCUUUCUUUCUGGAUUAUUAUUACUUAGGAUACCAAACAUCAAACACCGUUCGAUGCCGUUGACCACCGAUCAAGGUCGGUCUUCACUUGCCGCAGCCGCAGUUGGUGCAGGUGCAGUUGGAUCCGCGCUUGCAGUCGCCCUCGGCGCCGAAGCUCAUCUCCGACAUGUCGAAGCUCGUGGCAGGAGAAACUCCGACGAUCAUGGUCUGGAUGGAGGCGGUUGAUGCCUCGGCCAGGUCUGGGUACAUCCCACAGCUGCAAAUUGUUUACAGAGGAAAAGUUCAAAUUUCUCUUCUUUCAUGAUACAACAAACAAGAAAAUGAAAUUGAGGAUUUUGAUUAUUACCCGUUACAGCCACUGCCGCACUUGCAGGCUGAGCCGCAUCCGCACUUUCCUCCGCAGCAAGACAUGUUUUUCGGGUUUGAGAUUGAGGAAAAGGAAGAAGCUUUGUUUGUUUGUUUGCUUGCUGUGUUGUUGAAUGCUUGUGAUGAUUUUU